AUCUUCUGGAGGAUAGGUAGGAUC
rnacentral:piRNA from 1 species